rnacentral:rRNA from 1 species
CUACGGUGCUGAAGCAACAAAUGCCCUGCUUCCAGGAAAAGCCUCUAAGCAUCAGGUAACAUCAAAUCGUACCCCAAACCGACACAGGUGGUCAGGUAGAGAAUACCAAGGCGCUUGAGAGAACUCGGGUGAAGGAACUAGGCAAAAUGGUGCCGUAACUUCGGGAGAAGGCACGCUGACACGUAGGUGAAGUGAUUUACUCACGGAGCUGAAGUCAGUCGAAGAUACCAGCUGGCUGCAACUGUUUAUUAAAAACACAGCACUGUGCAAACACGAAAGUGGACGUAUACGGUGUGACGCCUGCCCGGUGCCGGAAGGUUAAUUGAUGGGGUCAGCGCAAGCGAAGCUCCUGAUCGAAGCCCCGGUAAACGGCGGCCGUAACUAUAACGGUCCUAAGGUAGCGAAAUUCCUUGUCGGGUAAGUUCCGACCUGCACGAAUGGCGUAAUGAUGGCCAGGCUGUCUCCACCCGAGACUCAGUGAAAUUGAACUCGCUGUGAAGAUGCAGUGUACCCGCGGCAAGACGGAAAGACCCCGUGAACCUUUACUAUAGCUUGACACUGAACAUUGAGCCUUGAUGUGUAGGAUAGGUGGGAGGCUUUGAAGUGUGGACGCCAGUCUGCAUGGAGCCGACCUUGAAAUACCACCCUUUAAUGUUUGAUGUUCUAACGUGGACCCGUAAUCCGGGUUGCGGACAGUGUCUGGUGGGUAGUUUGACUGGGGCGGUCUCCUCCUAAAGAGUAACGGAGGAGCACGAAGGUUGGCUAAUCCUGGUCGGACAUCAGGAGGUUAGUGCAAUGGCAUAAGCCAGCUUGACUGCGAGCGUGACGGCGCGAGCAGGUGCGAAAGCAGGUCAUAGUGAUCCGGUGGUUCUGAAUGGAAGGGCCAUCGCUCAACGGAUAAAAGGUACUCCGGGGAUAACAGGCUGAUACCGCCCAAGAGUUCAUAUCGACGGCGGUGUUUGGCACCUCGAUGUCGGCUCAUCACAUCCUGGGGCUGAAGUAGGUCCCAAGGGUAUGGCUGUUCGCCAUUUAAAGUGGUACGCGAGCUGGGUUUAGAACGUCGUGAGACAGUUCGGUCCCUAUCUGCCGUGGGCGCUGGAGAACUGAGGGGGGCUGCUCCUAGUACGAGAGGACCGGAGUGGACGCAUCACUGGUGUUCGGGUUGUCAUGCCAAUGGCACUGCCCGGUAGCUAAAUGCGGAAGAGAUAAGUGCUGAAAGCAUCUAAGCACGAAACUUGCCCCGAGAUGAGUUCUCCCUGAGACUUAGAGUCUCCUGAAGGAACGUUGAAGACGACGACGUUGAUAGGCCGGGUGUGUAAGCGCAGCGAUGCGUUGAGCUAACCGGUACUAAUGAACCGUGAGGCUUAACCUUACA